UACGAAGGGGGCUAGCGUUGCUCGGAAUGACUGGGCGUAAAGGGCGCGUAGGCGGUUUGGACAGUCAGGCGUGAAAUUCCUGGGCUUAACCUGGGGGCUGCGCUUGAUACAUCCAGACUUGAGUGGGGAAGAGGGUCGUGGAAUUCCCAGUGUAGAGGUGAAAUUCGUAGAUAUUGGGAAGAACACCGGUGGGCGAAGGCGGCGACCUGGUCCUUUACUGACGCUGAGGCGCGAAAGCGUGGGGAGCAAACAGG
rnacentral:rRNA from 1 species